rnacentral:tRNA from 4 species
GCCCGCUUGGCUAAGCGGUAUAGCGUGUCACUAGUAAUGACAAGGUGAUCAGUUCGACUCUGAUAGUGGGCA